UUGAAUCACUUGGGUACAUUAUAGUGUAGGGUAGAGAGGUUUUGUUGAAUCACUUGGGUACAUUAUAGUGUAGGGUAGAGAGGUUUUGUUGAAUCACUUGGGUACAUUAUAGUGUAGGGUAGAGAGGUUUUGUUGAAUCACUUGGGUACAUUAUAGUGUAGGGUAGAGAGGUUUUGUUGGAUCACUUGGGUACAUUAUAGUGUAGGGUAGAGAGGUUUUGUUGAAUCACUUGGGUACAUUAUAGUGUAGGGUAGAGAGGUUUUGUUGAAUCACUUGGGUACAUUAUAGUGUAGGGUAGAGAGGUUUUGUUGAAUCACUUGGGUACAUUAUAGUGUAGGGUAGAGAGGUUUUGUUGAAUCACUUGGGUACAUUAUAGUGUAGGGUAGAGAGGUUUUGUUGAAUCACUUGUGUACAUUAUAGUGUAGGGUAGAGAGGUUUUGUUGAAUCACUUGGGUACAUUAUAGUGUAGGGUAGAGAGGUUUUGUUGAAUCACUUGGGUACAUUAUAGUGUAGGGUAGAGAGGUUUUGUUGAAUCACUUGUGUACAUUAUAGUGUAGGGUAGAGAGGUUUUGUUGGAUCGCUUGGGUACAUUAUAGUGUAGGGUAGAGAGGUUUUGUUGGAUCGCUUGGGUACAUUAUAGUGUAGG